ACUGUGGAGGUACUUGGUUCACAUACGUGAAAGAAUGGGCUAAUGCUAAGAGGACGAACCGGGACCUGGACAUCCUUACACUGCAAUAUGAAGACCUGGUUCAGAAUUUAUACUCCAAUGUCGUUGACUUAGCUAGAUUCCUAAAAGUAGAACACGAUGAUGCCUUUCUGAGACAAGUGGUGGAGGCUGUGUCGUUCGAUAACCUCAAGACGAGUCAUGCUACAGGCAGAGGGGCCAAAGAUACGUGGAAGGAUUGGACCAGUGACGGCAUAUUACCAAUUUAUCGAAAAGGAAAGGUUGGUGACUGGAGGAGGACACUGACAGUUGCCCAAAAUAUAAAAUUUGACAACGUAUAUCAGG